rnacentral:rRNA from 1 species
UACGUAGGCAGCAAGCGUUGUUCGGAAUUACUGGGCGUAAAGGGUGCGUAGGCGGUUGUUUAAGUCUGUCGUGAAAUCCCCGGGCUCAACCUGGGAAUGGCGAUGGAUACUGGGCAGCUAGAGUGUGUCAGAGGAUGGUGGAAUUCCCGGUGUAGCGGUGAAAUGCGUAGAGAUCGGGAGGAACAUCAGUGGCGAAGGCGGCCAUCUGGGACAACACUGACGCUGAAGCACGAAAGCGUGGGGAGCAAACAGG